GCGGUGGGGGGGGCUACGCAUGCAGUCGUACGGACAUUUCGGUCUUCGGAUUGAAAUGUUAGUGGCAAACGGGUGAGUAAUGCAUAGGAAUCUACCUUUAAGUUUGGGAUAACCUUGUGAAAACGGGGCUAAUACCAAAUAUGACUACGAGAGUUCGCUCUUGAAGUAAAAGAUGGCCUCUAUAUUAUGCUAUCACUAAUAGAUGAGCCUAUGUCCUAUUAGCUAGUUGGUGAGGUAAUGGCUCACCAAGGCGAUGAUGGGUAGCCGAUCUGAGAGGAUGACCGGCCACAUUGGGACUGAGAUACGGCCCAAACUCCUUCGGGAGGCAGCAGCGAGGAAUAUUCCGCAAUGGGCGAAAGCCUGACGGAGCGACGCCGCGUGAAUGAUGAAGGCCUUCGGGUUGUAAAGUUCUGUUAAGUGGGAAGAAAAUACUAUUUUUGAAUAAGGAAUAGAGAUGACGGUACCACUAGAGAAAGCUCCGGCUAACUACGUGCCAGCAGCCGCGGUAAUACGUAGGGAGCUAGCGUUAUCCGGAAUUACUGGGCGUAAAGCGCACGCAAGUGGUUAGGUAAGUUAUAUGUGAAAACUUCCGGCUCAACUGGAAGCCUGCAUAUAAAACUGCUUGACUUGAGUACAGAAGAGGAAAGUGGAAUUCCCAGUGUAGCGGUGAAAUGCGUAGAUAUUGGGAGGAACACCAGUGGCGAAGGCGGCUUUCUGGUCUGUAACUGACACUCAUGUGCGAAAGCUAGGGGAGCAAACGGGAUUAGAUACCCCGGUAGUCCUAGCUGUAAACGAUGGAUACUAUGUGUAGGAGGUAUUCAAUCCUUCUGUGCCGCAGCUAACGCAUUAAGUAUCUCGCCUGGGAAGUACGGCCGCAAGGUUGAAACUCAAAGGAAUUGACGG
rnacentral:rRNA from 1 species